rnacentral:lncRNA from 1 species
UUUUUUUUUUUUUUUUCUUUUUUUUUAAUUGUCAUACACAGUAAACUGUGAAAGUUUCCUAGGCCAGGGAUUGAAUCUGGAGCCACAGCUGCACAAUCCUUUAACCUGCUGCUCCCAGCCAGGGAUCAAACCCACAUCUAUGCAGCGACCCAGUCACUGCAAUUGGAUUCUUAACUCACUGCACCACAGCAGGAACUCUUCAAAUUGUAAGAAUCUCAAGUCACAGCAGUGAAUUCUGGAAGGGGAAAGUACCUUUGCAAAACCAUCAAAUGACGGAGGAAAGGGCUAAAUUGUCUUUGGUAAACUUAAAAGAUCACACACAUAUAGAAAAGUGUACAAAUCUUAGAUAUAUAGCUCAAUGAUUUCUUAUAAGUGAAUGUGCCUGUGUAACCAUUACCCAGAUCAAGAUAAACCCCCACAUUCCCCCAAAUGCCCCUUUUCCCUAGCAUUACUUCCUGGAUUAGCUUUGCCUGUUUUCAACUUGAUACAACAUAUGUUCUUUGUAUCUGGCUUCUUUCCUUUAAUGUUGAGAUACAACCAUGUUGUUACUUGUAACAAUAGCUCCUCUUUGAGUGCUGCAUAGUAUUCCUUUGUAUCAAUUUACCACAAAUUAUGUAUCCAUUUUUCUAUUAACAGGUAUAUAGAUUGUUUCCAGUUUUGGAAACAGGUACUCUGAAUUUUCUUGAGCUGUAUCUUUUCUGUACAUAGAUUUUCAUUUCUGUUGAAUAUAUGCCAAGUGUGGAAUUGUGAGGUUAUAGAAAGCUAGUUUUCUACAGUGGUUGUACCAAUUUAUCCUCUAGUGGUGUUGAGUAUGAGAAUUUAAAAAUCCAUACACUUUGAUGACUGUUUUUAUCUUUUUUUUUUUUCCCCUUUAGGGCCAUACCCGCAAUAUAUGGAAAUUCCCGGGGGGGGGGACAGGGCGGCACCUGCCGGCCUACACCACAGCAAUAUGGCAUCUGAGCCACAUCUGUGACCUACGCCUCAGCUCACGGCAAGGAUGGAUCCUUAACCCAUCGAGUGAGGCCAGGGAUCAAACCCGGGUCCUCAUGGAUACUAGUCGGGUUCAUUACUGCUGAGCCCUGAUGGGAACUCAACUGUGUUUAUAAAAGUGAACUUCUCAACUCUAAGUGUUACCGUUCUUAGAUUUCCCUCUAAUACCUCAAAUUCUGUUUUUAGAUAUGGCUCGUGGACAGCAGAAGAUUCAGUCUCAGCAGAAAAAUGCCAAAAAGCAAGCUGGACAAAAGAAGAAACAAGGACAUGACCAAAAGGCUGCUGCCAAAGCUGCCUUAAUAUAUACCUGCACUGUUUGUAGGGUAAGGGGCAUUGACAGAUAAUAGCUUUCUCCUGGAGAGAUUGGUUUGUGUAGGUUAAAAUUUUUGCAAACCUGGCAAGAUAAAUGCUUUACUUGAAGUAGAUUUGAGAGCUGGUUAUUUUAAUAACCCAUCUUCAUUCAUCUGUUCAACAAAUAUAUAUAUUUUUUAAUGGGUCUUCUGGCCAGGUGCUCUGGUCAUUAGUGAAAAGGAAUGAAGGAAGAAAAUCUCUUUUCUCAUGGAGAAUCAAGAUGUUUUCUUAGGAGUAAUUAAUACACUUUGAACUUUAUAAGGAAGUCAGCUCUAUCUUCUUAAUUUAAAGCUAUGUAUGAUACCUCUGGUUAUAUAAUUGGCUUUUUUUUCUUCACUAAAUUCAUAGCUGUGAUGUCUACGAAACUGAAUAGAGUACAUUCACAUUGAAGGCUUUAACUAGAGUUAGAAAAAUUCUAUUUUUUUCUAAAUCUUUUGUGCUUUGAGUUGAAUAAUUAUAACAGCUGCUAUAGAAUGCACCAGACACUGAACCAGGUGUUUUACAUUUGUGAGCCCAUUAAUUCACACAGCAGUCCUAUGACAUAAACCGUUUAUAUUCUCAUUUCACAGAAGAGUAAAUUGAGGACUAAAUAACUUGUGCAGGGUCACCCAGCUAGAAUGGAGAAGAGCUGGGAUCUGAACCCAGGCAGUGUAGCUCCAGAGUCUACCUCUGGGCUGUACCACGCACUGCCUCGAAGUUUUUUGGGUUUUGUCUUUUUGCCAUUUCUUGGGCCGCACCUGCAACAUAUGGAGGUUCCCAGGCUAGGGGUCAAAUCGGAUCUGUAGCCACUGGCCUACACCAGAGCCACAGCAAUGCCAGAACCUUAACCCAAUGAGCAAGGGCAGGGAUUGAACCCAAAACCUCAUGGUUCCUCAUGGCACCACAAUGGGAACUCCAAAGAAAAUUUUCUUAAAUGCCAGGCCAGAGUCUCUUUCUUGCCUGUUUGUUUAAGCUUACCACCCUUGAAGUUAGUAAAUAAAACUGCCAAAGGAAAAGUACAUAGUGAGGUUAGUCCAAUAUACUUUUUUCUUGUCCCCUCCAACUCCCAGAGCCCUGUAUCCCACUUGGUAGUAUGAAUGGGAAGGGAUCUUGAUAAGACUGAAUUCCUGGACUAAAUUUCAUCAUCUGUUGAAGUCAUUGCUGAUGAAAUAGUUCCUAACUACAUAAAAUCUCAUUAAGAGAGGACAUCUAUUACAUUAAAUAAUUUGUUCAUAUGCAUUCCAAAUAAUGAAAUUGAGCAACUUCAAGUUCUUUUUUCAAAGAGACGAAGUAAAAGUAAACUUUACUAAAUUACUGAUGAAGAAAUACUUUUUCCUAAAACUCCUAGAGUAGUUUAUAUAUUUAAAAACUCAACAAAAAAUGUUUAUUCCACAUUUUAUCUAAUGUAAUGUGCUAAAAAACAAGUAAUUGAAGGUCUUUGCCUAGGUAAGUCAGUAAAGUGUAGUAUUUGAGAACCGAAAUACCUAGUACUAGGUUAAACUGUAGGUCUUGAGCAAAUUAAGCUCUAGGUUUUAGUUUUCUUAGCAUGUAAAAUGAGGAUAGUAGAAACCGAUUUAAGAUUACUCAAGGUUCUAUGAGAAAUUAGGUAAUAUGGGUAAUAUGCUUAACAUAAGGUGCUCAGUAAAUGUUACCUGCUAAUUACUUUUAAUCAGAUAAAAAUACUUCAUUCCAUGUGACCCACCCCUUCGUCAUAUGUGAAAUGUGGAAAUAUGCUAGGAAUUUAUUUGUUGCAAGAUCCUUUUACCUAAGCCAACUGUUACUGGGAGUUUAAAAGUGUUUUAUGAUGAUUGUCAUGAGCAGGCUCAAGAUUUUGAAAGUUAGCGUAUUUUUAUUUCAUGAAUUAGGUCUAACUUUUUUUACACAAUUUUUAAAAUUAGACACAAAUGCCAGACCCUAAGACCUUCAAGCAGCACUUUGAGAGCAAGCAUCCUAAGACUCCACUUCCUCCAGAAUUAGCUGAUGUUCAGGCAUAAAAUUGUUUACAGGUGAAUUCAUGACACCUUUGACUCUUCUACUGUCUCAGACCUUAGGUAACAAACCUGCAGCUGCUUUUCUAACAAACUGUUGAUCAGCAAAAAUAAAGGGGCUACAGAAACACUCAUUUUUAUGCUGUUCCCUUUUGGGCUUCAUGCAAAGACAAUUCUGUGUAAAUGUACAGUUGACUCUGAUUUGGAAAUCUGAAAAUCAGUCCAUCCUUGUUAUAAAAAUUUUUUUACAAUUGUAAUUAUAUUGAUGUUCAUAUUGUGUAAAAUAACUCAUUUAAUAAAGUAGUACUUUGAUUUUACAACAUCGCAGGACAAAUCGUUCUAGAAAUUCUGUACUAACUUUCCACAUUAUUUGCCUUAUAAAAAUCUAAUGAAUGCAUCAGCUAGAAUUGCAGGUGCAAUUCUUAUCACUUUUUCUCAGUUCAGUGGUAGGUUCUUUAGUUAAAAUAGAGCAGACUCCUUCAUUAAAUUUGUGCACAUGAUUUUAUUUGGCAGCUGCUAACCUAGGUGACGAAUGUCUUACAUGCUGCCUUCUAUUUCAGUCUUGUGUCAUUUUCCCCUCUGAGUGCUUCCUGUAUUUGAGGUUAGAAUCGUUCAACUUGUGUUCUGGCUAUACCUGCCAGCUAGGUAUAGCCUAUAGGUAACUGAUAAAUUCCUUAAAGUGGUUGGAUUGUCAGUGAGCCCUUCUGAAAAACUAGGUUCUGGAGUUUAUGCUACAAUGAAGUAAUCAGUAAGCCUUUUGUUUAAUACAAGAUACAGUGGAACAAUAUGUGAACUGGUAAAGAGCUACCUUUUAUAAGUUAUACUGAAUUCUUUGAAAAUUCUUCCAGUUCUUUAAUUUGAAAUUGAAACUCAUAAUUUUCUAAAGAGUUUUUGGAAUUUAUUAACAAUUUGGGCAAUUUAUGAAGGGAUUUUAUGUUAAUAGAAAGAUUGGAAUGACUUGUGGCUGAGGUAAUUCCUAGAACUUUCUCCUUCCUUUCCUUUUUAAGUGAGUAGUUGGUAUUAGGAGUUUACUUUGUGUUGGUUCCUGAAAUCAAAGACUGUGUACAAUAUGACUUCCAUCUGAACUAGAAAAGUAUUAAAAAUAGGCCAGUAUCAACAUUCUUGGCUCAAAGGGUGGGGAAGUGGGUUGGUUCUGAUGAAUGAGGUAAAUCUUACCCAGUUAAAAAAGACCAAUUUUAGAGUUCUUCUAAUUUGCUUUUGCCAAUUAUAAACUUUACAAGUGAAACUGCUGUAACUCAGUUUAAAUUUUAAAGUUGAUAUAAUAGGAAAAACAUUCAAAUAUUUACUGGUAGUUGCCACAAAUCUGAUCCUGUGGAUUAUGAAAUGCGUUCCCUCUUUCUGCUGUAACUCAUCGCUGCAUUUGUUCUCUAGCUGUCCAUAUUCUCCCCACCUUGUUUGUCUUCACUGUAAGUUUAAAAUAAGAUAUUUCCAAGGAAAAGCUUCAAUGGUGAUAGUUUCUUAGCAACUCCUGUCCUUAUACUCUUACUUAAAGAUAGUUAUUUUUUUGUGCAUUUCAACUUUCUAAGUUUCAGAUUCAAUAUCUGUUAAUUCCCAAAAUGUUGGUUACCGGAACAUUAGAAUUUGCCUAAUUGCUUAUAGUGGGUGUUAAAGAAGUUCUGGUAAAAAUUACAAUUUAAAAGUUUUUAAAAGUGCUUUGAGCAUAUGUAUGUUUAUGUUAGUAACAAAGCAUUUAAAAACCUUUCACACGUUUUGGUUUAAUUUUUUUUUCAUUUGUUUUAUUGACUGUAAUUCAGAGUAAAAGUUUUUUCUUGUACUUGGCUCUUUUUUAUAAGCAGCUGAAGACACCAUAUUUAUCUCUAGAUCUCAGUGUCAGGGAAAUAGUUGCAUCGAUCUUGAAUUAAAUAUUAAUUCUCAUAUUUCAUGUGAGGAUUAUUAGUGCAAUCCCCUUUUUUGUUUGGCCUAAAUCUGCUAUAAGGGGAAGAUUACAGUUUUUUAAAUGUCCUUGUUACUUAAUUUGAAGAUUCUUAACAGAUCGCAGCAAAGUUCAUUAUAAAACUGUUAUGGUGUCUUCAAGGACAUGAUAAAAUAAUGCAGAGAGAAUUGCUCCAUUUGUAUUCUGUAUUUGCAUUAGUUGCCAAAGGAAUGGGGUUAAAAUUAAACUUGUUUCCAUUCUCCUUCAUAUGGAUCUACAUCCCCGUGUUUAACUGACACACUGGGGGUUCAGUUGUGUGCUGUAAUGUCUUAUUAAAGAAGAUGUUAAAGAAAACUAAACCAGUCUAAUUUCUUCUACAUUUUAAGAGGUUUUUAUAUUGCCUCUUCCCAUUAUUAUUUUAUUUAAAAAUUUAUCAUCUCAGAAUUGUCUCUUGAGCAUAGAACUUGAUAGUUCUAAGGGUGGCAAGAGAUUUCUUUCAUUUCUCAGUGUUUUUUCCUUUCAGUCUGUCCAUUUGGGGUCUGUAGAAUACUUAUUAAGAAUAAAAAGAAAAACAUUGUUCUGAAACUUUGCUGUAUCGAAUAAGUUUAAGUUGUUGGAAGGGGGAAGUAAUUGGCUGUUAAUGUAAAAAAUAAUAUUAAAGCAAAAAAUGCUUAGAUUGAAUUGAAGGGAUAAGUCCUUAAAGACAUUGACUCAGAUUUGAGAUAAUGCUUUUGUUUUUAUAUUAAGAUGCUAUAUAGCUGAUCGAUUGCAUCAUAAUUAAAACCUGAGAUGUAUGUAGGAUAAAUAAGAUACACUUUACAAACACUGCUCUUUUACCCCCAAAAACUUUUUCAUUUUUUAAAUAUGUGGAUUAGGACGUACCUGUAGAGGCCUUUUUCUAAAAUACAGUGUUCAUCCACAGUCCAAACUUUAACUGAAAUGUCAUAUUUGAACUUCUGAAUCUGCAUAAAUUCAUUUGUGCUAGGUUUUUCACUCUGGGGGUAAUUUUUGGUCUGGUUUAGUUUUGGUCAAAGAUGCGUACUUUUUAAGAGUGUAUAGCAGUGAAAGUCAACACUAGGGGGUUGUGUUUACUGUGGCUUUACCUUCUGAAAUCUUUUCAGGCUAGCUUAAUUUUAUCUGUUGGAAAGUUUCAGAAAAAUCUUAAGUGCUUCCAAUGUGUAGAUUUAAUAAAACAUCUCUACUUGGCUGAAAAAUGGAUGUUUUAUUAAUGAAAGUUCAACCUAUCCUUAUUGGUUGUGGAUUACCAUAGUAAACUGAAAAUUAAAUGUCUUCUACUUUAAAUGGUCUUUGGAUGAGCUGUUGACUAAGUUACCAUCUUCUUUUUUGUUUUUGCUUUUGUCAUUGACAUUCUUUGUUUUAUGGUCGUGCGCACCGUAUGCAGAAGUUCCCAGGCCAGGGAUUGAACCCGAGCCACAGGAGUGAUAGUGCUAAAUCCUUAACUGCUGGGCCAUCAGGGAACACCUGUUUGUUUUUGUUUUUGAAUAGCCAUUCUUUAGUUUAAUUUUUGGUACACAAUGUGGCUCUAAAAUCUGCAUAUAGUGAUAGACUUCAAUCAUGUAUUUAUGUCCAUAUGGACAUAUCUACACUGAGAAGCAAUUAUGUUAAAAUCAGUACUUUCUAGUCAUUUUUAAAUUUAUACAAUGAUUAUUUCUUUAUAUAAUGUUAAUUAUAAUGGCUUAGGUUUUGUAAACUUAAGUACCUCACUUUAUCACUACCUUCAUCUUAUUCCCAUUCAGAAUGGGACUUGAAUUUUGGUUUUUGGGGGUUUUUUUUGUUUGUUUUUUUUUUUUUGUCUUUUUGCCUUUUCUAGGGCUGCUCCCAUGGCAUAUGGAAGUUCCCAGGCUAGGGGUCGAAUCGGAGCUGUAGCCACCAGCCUACACCACAGCUACAGCAACACGGGAUCCAAGCCUCAUCUGCGACCUACACCACAGCUCACAGCAAUGCUGGAUCCUUAACCCACUGAGCAAAGCCAUGGAUCAAACCCGCAACCUCAUUAAUGACUGUGUCAUGACAGGAACUCCCUGAAGUGCUUUUUUUAAAUGUAGGUUUACAACAAAACUUUUGAUACCCAGAAAAUGUUAACAACUCAUUAAUUGGGAACACGGGCUACUGGCAGGGUUUGUCUUUUAAUGGCCUUGAAUCUAUUAUUUUGGUUUUUUUUUUUUAAUGACCUACUAAGCAUUAAAUAUCUGUUAAAAUUAACUAGAUUUUAAAACUUUGAACUGCCUUUAUUCAUAGGCAUUCGUAUAAACUUUAUACUGUUUGUACCAUGUUGGGAUUCAGACUGUUUUUGCUGAUCAUCUUUCAUCCAAAGGAUUUACAGGAAAUGGCUAGUUGGGAUUAGAGGUACCGCCCGUUAGUAUAGAACACUUUCACUGAGGAAGGAAGGGAAACCUGCACCAUUGGCUUCAAGUUAGACAUCCUCUGGACUAACAGUAUUGAAAACUUCAGGCAAAUCUUUUGAUUUUGAGACAGGAUGCUUCUACAUAUUAUUUGACCUAUAUCUCUGAAAUUUUCUUUUAUAAACUUAUAAUUUUGGAAUACUUUAGACCUGCAGAGAAGUUAUAAUGGUAGUAGAAGAGAAUUCUUGUAUCCCUUUACUCAAUUUUGGUUUACCCUAAUGUUAUAAUCUUAACAUUACUUUGUCAAAACUAAGAAACCAUUAUUGAUAUGUUACCAUUAACUCCAGUUUGUAAUAUCUUUUUUUGUGUUCCAUGAUCCAGUCCAGAAUGCCACAUUGCAUUUCCUUAUUUCUUCCUGGUCUUUUGUGUGUGAUUCUCAGUCUUGACCUCAUCUUUGUGUGACCUUCACAGUUUUGAGGUAUAUGGAGAUAUGUUGUCAGAAUGUCUCUCAGUUUGGAUUUGUCUGAUCUUUUUCUCAUGAUUACAUUGGGGUAACAGGUUUUUGGAAAGAAGACUGCAUGGGUGAAGUGCUCUUCUUAUAUAUCAUCUUGGGGAGAGUGAUACUCACACGACAUCACUAGUGAUGUUAGCUAGCCUCUGUCACUUGGUUAAGGUGCUGUCUGCCAGGUCUCUCCACUGGAAAGUUGAAAUUUUUCUUUGCAUAUGCUGUCUUUUCAAAGUCCAGCCCUUACUCAAGGGGUGUGGGGAUUUAGCUCCACCUCCUGGAGGGGAAUUCUUUUAUAAGAAAGAUUUGUUUUGUCUCAUUUAUUUAUUCAGUCACCUUAUUAUGUUCAUAUGGACUCAUAAUCCAGUACUUGUAUUUGUCUUGUUAUUCAAAUUACACUGACUUUGGCCAUUGGGACCUCUUUCAGAUUGGCUCAUGUGUCCCUUUGACAUGUGUCUCCAUCUCUUUUUGAGCAUUUCCUCAUUAUGAGAAGCUCCAGGCUAAUCUUGUAUUUUCUCUGCCUCACCCCUAGAAUGAAUCAUUCCUCCAGAGCCCUGAUUCCUAUUAUUGGAGAAUGGUAUUAAGAAACUAAGAUCUGGGCACUGGGUAUUAGUAAGUUUCUUGUUUUUUUAAAUAUGAAAUGUUGAACUUUUUUCCACCAUUAGCUACUACUAUUUGUGGGUUGUGGGGAAGAAAAGUAUCCUCCCAGAUCUUUAGGUUCUGGGCUCUCUGAAUGAGCAGUUUUCUGCACAUGCUUUAAAAAUAUUUUUUUGUGGAGUUCCUGUUAUGGCUCAGUGGUUAACAAAUCUGACUAGGAACCAUGAGGUUGCGGGUUCGAUCCCUGGCCUCGCUCAGUGGGUUAAGGAUCCCGCGUUGCCAUGAGCUGUGGUGUAGGUCGCAGAUGCGGCUUGGAUCCUGCGUUGCUGUGGCAUAGGCUGGUGGCUACAGCUCCGAUUCCCUAGCCUGGGAACCUCCAUAUGCCCUGGGAGCGGCCCUAGGAAAGACAAAAAAAAAAAAAAAAAAAAAAAAA